rnacentral:rRNA from 1 species
AACGAACGCUGGCGGCAGGCUUAACACAUGCAAGUCGAACGAGCUGGGGGCUUCUUUCCCCGAUGCUAGUGGCGCACGGGUGUGUAACACGUGUGUAUAUGCCCUUUUGUACGUUAUAACCAAGUGAAACUUUUUCUAAUACCGUAUACGCCCUUCGGGUGAAAGAUUUAUCGCUAUAGGAUUAGCCCGCGUCUGAUUAGGUAGUUGGUGAGGUAAUUGCUCACCAUUCCGACGAUCAGUAGCUGGUCUGAGAGGAUGAUCAGCCAGACUGGGACUGAGAAACGGACCAGAAUACUACGGGAGGGAGCAGUGGGGAAUAUAGGAAAAUGGGGGCAAACCAGAUAAAGCCAGGCCGGGUGAGAGAAGAAGGCGGUCGGGAAGAAAAGCACUUUGGACGGGGACGAGGAUGACGGUAACGGAAAAAGAAGCACCGGCAAACUACGUG